AGUGAACGCUGGCGGUAGGCCUAACACAUGCAAGUCGAACGGCAGCACAGUAAGAGCUUGCUCUUACGGGUGGCGAGUGGCGGACGGGUGAGGAAUACAUCGGAAUCUACUUUUUCGUGGGGGAUAACGUAGGGAAACUUACGCUAAUACCGCAUACGACCUACGGGUGAAAGCAGGGGAUCUUCGGACCUUGCGCGAUUGAAUGAGCCGAUGUCGGAUUAGCUAGUUGGCGGGGUAAAGGCCCACCAAGGCGACGAUCCGUAGCUGGUCUGAGAGGAUGAUCAGCCACACUGGAGCUAGGAAACGGUCCAGACUCCUACGGGAGGCAGCAGUGGGGAAUAUUGGACAAGGGGCGCAAGCCUGAUCCAGCCAUACCGCGUGGGUGAAGAAGGCCUUCGGGUUGUAAAGCCCUUUUGUUGGGAAAGAAAAGCAGCAGGUUAAUACCCCGCUGUUCUGACGGUACCCAAAGAAUAAGCACCGGCUAACUUCGG
rnacentral:rRNA from 1 species